GAAUAUUGGGCAAUGGGCGCAAGCCUGACCCAGCGACGCCGCGUGAGGGAAGACGGUCUUCGGAUUGUAAACCUCUUUCAGCAGGGAAGACAAAAGGACGGUACCUGCAGAAGAAGCCACGGCUAACUACGUGCCAGCAGCCGCGGUAAUACGUAGGUGGCAAGCGUUAUCCGGAUUUAUUGGGUUUAAAGGGUGCGUAGGCGGGCUGUUAAGUCAGCGGUCAAAUGUCGGGGCUCAACCCCGGCCUGCCGUUGAAACUGGCGGCCUCGAGUGGGCGAGAAGUAUGCGGAAUGCGUGGUGUAGCGGUGAAAUGCAUAGAUAUCACGCAGAACUCCGAUUGCGAAGGCAGCAUACCGGCGCCCUACUGACGCUGAGGCACGAAAGCGUGGGUAUCGAACAG
rnacentral:rRNA from 1 species